AAUUUCACACCUGGAUGUGCUCACUCAACCAAGAAUAUAGAGAAAGAGCUUCUGCCCUGAGACUCAGAAAAAUGUUGCGCGCCGCUCUGCGCGGUGCGGGUUUGUAGCCCCCGAGCCUGGCCGCGCCUCGCUGGGU
ensembl:misc_RNA